rnacentral:tRNA from 1 species
UAAAAAAUAAGCUAAAAAAGCUUUUAGGUUCAUACCCUAAAUAUAAAGAUUAAUCUUUUUUUUUAA